AGAAAAAAAAGAGGUUGAAGGAUAAUCUCCAAAUGAAAAGGCAGGACCCUUUUUAUAGUAUUUGAAUACCGUAUCGAGUAAUCACUUCCGCCAUAAGAAAAGAAUUUAAAGAUGAAUUCUUCCGCCUAUCAUUCUGUUCCGUACUACUUUUUCUUCUCUCUUUGACUUUUUAUUCUUUUAUUUUGUUUACUUUUCUUUUUUUCACAUACAAUAGCGUUUUCUCCCAUCAAUCUCCCCCUCAAACCUAUGAUACAUCAAGAAAGAAAUUAAAAAAGAUUUGCUAUUCUCUGGUGGCGCCUUCACAUUAUCAGUCUUGAAGGCUAACUGAGGCAGUGCAUAGCCUCAGUUUGUCAAUACCGACAACUUUGGUCAACAUGUCUGACGGGUUCUUCGAUUCUAGUAUCUUCUGUAGGGAAAGAGUUUAUUCACUUAUCAAGUCUCGGAUAUGAUGAUACCUCAAUUGGAUAUGCUUCGAUCUUGCAUGAAACACUGGAUUCUUGGCAAGAUGAAUUGCACUCUGGCUAUCGCUGAAAAGCUCACAAUUGUCCUGCUCUUUACCUAACUCUUUAAGAAAAUUCUUGAGCCAAAUCAUCUCUUUUUCAACUGUUGAGAUUGCCAUGUACUCUUCUUCAGUGGUAGAUAGAACAACACUUUUCUGAAGUCUGGACAUCCAGCUAACACCAGUACCACCUAAGGUGAACACGUAGCAUGUGGUAGUUUUUCGACUAUCCAGAUCGCCGCCUAAAUUUGCAUCAGCAAAACCUUGUAAGAUAAUAUUGCUCAUUUUAAAACAAAGUGUCAUACCUGAGGUGCCUUUGAGAUAUCGCAAUAUCCAUUUUACAGCUUCCCAAUGCUCAUUUUCUGGAUCUGACAUGUAUCUACUGACAACUCCAAUUGCAUGGGCUAUGUCAGGUCUAGUACAAAACAUAACAUACAUCAAACUUCGUACUAUUGAAGCAUAUGAAACUUUGGACAUGUACUUCCUUUCUUCAUCUGUCUUAGGUGAUUAGUCCUUCGACAGAUUAAGAUGGCUUCCGAGUGGAGUGCUUCAGGUCUUUGCAUCAUGAAGAAUAAACCUCCUUAGUACCUUAUGUAUGUACUUUUCUUGAGAUGACUUUAAAGUUCCUUCAUGCCUGUUUCUGCUAAUCCUCAUCCCAAGCAUUUGAUUGGCUGGUCCUAAGUCUUUUAUAUCAAACUCCUCCGCCAGUUGUUGCUUAACCCUGUUGAUCUCUUUUAUGUUAGAUCCUUCAAUUAUCAUAUCAUCAACGUACAUUAGUAAAAUAAUAUAGGAUUCAUCAAGAUUUUUAAUAUAACAGCAAUGGUCCAUCUCACACCGCGUGAAACCAUUGUUAUGCAUGAAUCUACCAAAUUUCUUGUAACAUUGUCGGGGAGCUUGUUUCGAACCAUACAAACUCUUAUUCAACUUACACACAAGGUUUUCUUUACCAUAAACUUGAAAACCUUCAGGUUGCUUCAUGUAGAUGUCUUCUUCAAGGCCACCAUGCAAGAAAGUAGUUUUAACAUCUAGCUGCUCCAAAUGCAAAUUUUCUACAGGUACGAUACUUAGCACCAACCUGAUAGUACUUAAUUUGACUACAAGAGAGAAGAUUUUGGUGUAGUCAAUUCCUUCCUUCUGGUGAAAUCCUUUUACUACUAACUGUGCUUUGUAUCUCUUCUUAACAUCAUGCUCUUCUUUGACGUUGUACACCCACUUAUUUUGCAAUGCCUUCUUUCCUUUUGGUAACUCUGUAAGUAUCCAUGUUUUAUUAUUUUGAAGAGAACGUAUCUCUUCUUUCAUGGCUAACUUUCACUUAUCAGGGUUUAUCACCUGCAUUUCUUCAACAAAAUAUUCUGGUUUUGCAACAUCAGUCAGAAAUAAAUAGUGAAGAGAGAGAGAGAGAAAGAGUUAAUCUAUCUGGAGCAUUCAUAACUUUCUUAGAUCUCCUUAAUGUAGGUUCAGGAGUAUCUGGUCCCGAAUUUGGUUCAAGUCCUAACUCCAUAUUUGGUUGUGCAUCUGAUUCUAUCUCUAAUUCUGGUUUUGGUUUUGGUUCUGAUCCAAGUUCGGCUUAUGGUUCUUCAUCUUCAAUUUCAAAAUCAGUUGUAAUCCCUCUAGCAACUUCAUUUUUUGAGAUUUCUUCUAACUCAACUGUUUCAGAUGCAUGUUUGCUGGUGCUGGUUAGUUCUACUUCAAGCUUAUCCAUGUACAUUACAUUUUCAUUAAAUGUGACAUUUCUAUGUCUUAGGAUCUUUCUAUUAUGAUCAUCCUAAAAUUAAUAACUAAAAUUAUCAUCACCAUAGCCAAUAAAGAAAUUUUUCUUGGCUUUAGGAUCAAGUUUAUCUCUAUCAUUAGAGUUUACAUUCACAUAAGCAACACAGCCAAAAAAAUUCAGAUGUGAGAGAGUUACCUCCUUGUUUGUCCAUACUUCAUCAGGAAUUUCAAAAUUCAGCGAUAUAUAGGGUCCCCUAUUUAUGAGGUAAGCUGCCGUGUUAACAGCCUCGGCCCAAAAUUACUUCGGUAAUCCAGAAUGUAUUCUCAUACUUCUGUAUCGUUCGUUAAGGGUUCUGUUCAUCCUAUCGGCAACGCCAUUUUGUUCUGGUGUUCUAAGAACUGUCUUGAUCAUUCUGAUCCCAUUCUCAUAGCAGAAUGCUUUAAACUCUUGACUAUCAUACUCUCUCCUAAUGUCACACUUCAAGCGUUUUAACUUUAGACUUGUUUGAUUUUCAACUUCACUUUUCCAUCUUUUAAAGGUAACAAACACAUCAGAUUUAUUUUUUAGAAAAUAAACCCAUACCUUUCUUGUGGAAUCAUCAAUGAAGGUGACAUAAUAGCGUGAGCCUCCCAAAGAAGUUACAAAAGCUGGUCCCCACACAUCUAUAUGCACUAGUUCCAGCUUCUAUUUCUUUGGUGUCCUUCCCGCCUUUGAGAAAUUAACUCUCUUUUGUUUUUCGUAAAUGCAAUUUUUGCACAAACCUAAUUCAACAUACUUUAGGUUUGGAAACUUUUCUUUGGAUGCCAACAACUUCAUUCCCUUCUCACUCAUAUGCCCGAGCCUCUGGUGCCACAAUGUUGUAUCACGACCAUGAACAACUGUUGCUAUAGUAUCUCUCUGUAUUACAGUUGCAUACAAUGUUCCCUUCUAGAAGCCUCGUGCCACAACCAAAUUUUAUUUGGUUAUUUUUCAUGAUCCAUUACCGAAUACCAUUGUGUAUCCUUCACUGUCAACCUGACCCAUAGAUAUCAGAUUUUUCUUGAGGCCAGGAACAUAUCGGACAUUUUACAAUUUCCAUAGCGUCCCUUGUGAAGUCUUUAUAUGAACUUCACAUUUCCCAACAAUAUCCAGAGGUUCGUCGUUUGCUAGAUUAACCUUCCCAAAUUUUUCAACAAUAUAACUAUGCAAUAAUAUUUUGCAUGCGGUAGAGUGAGAGGAUGCUCCCGAGUCCAAAAUUCAAGACUUGACUGGACUAUCUGCAUAAUAAAUUAGUGCAUCACCAACUUGUUCAUCAAUUGUAUUUGCCGAAUUAUCAUUCAUGUAUUGGUCGUUCUUCUUCUUCUUUGGCUCUCUACAUUUACUAUUGUACUAACCCUUUUUAUCGCAAUUCCAACAAGUAAUGUCUUUGCAGUUUUUGGAUUGCCCUCUUCUCCUUGACUUUGAUCUGCCACGAUAAUGACUUUGUCCUCUUUAGAUACUUCUCCCCUGCUUUUGGUAUUAAAAGUAGAUCCUGAAAAAUCAGUUGAUUCUCUCCGGUGAAUAUCUUCGCCUAGAACCCAAGUUUCUAAUAUCAUCCAAUUUGAGUUUGAUACUUCUCGAUGAACUUCUAAUUGUAGUUACUGUUGCAGACCAACUCUCUGGUAGAGAUGAUAGUAGAAUCAACACCCUGAUUUUGUCAUCGAAUAUUAUAUUAAUAGAACUCAACUGAGUUAAUAUUACAUUAAACUCAUUUAUAUGUUCCGUAACAGAUUCACCUUCUGUCAUUUUAAGUUGAACAAUCGACACCUCAAUAGACUUUAUUUGAAGUUGAUGGCGUCUCAUACAAUAACAACAACCCAGUAUAAUCCCACUAGUGGGGUCUGGGGAGGGUAGUGUGUACGAAGACCUUACUCCUACCAUGAGGUAGAGAUGUUAUUUCCAAUAGAUCCUCGGCAUCCUUCCCUCCAAGAACUCCCUACCUUGCUCUUGGGGUGACUCGAACUCACAACCUCUUGGUUGGAAGUGGAGGUUGCUUACCAUCAGAGCAACCCCUCUUGGAAGUGGAGAUGGCGUCUCAUACAUAUUUGAUAAAGCCUUCAUCAGGCCUGCUGUGGUCUUCUCAUUAAUGAUGUUAAAUACCACAUUUCGUGUUAGCGUCAAAUGAAUCACACCAAGAGUUUGUCGAUCUAAUAGAUCCCGAUCCGUUUUGGCCAUAUUCUUUGGUUUUACCCCCGUUAGAGGUAAGUGUAAUUUUUUCUGGUAUAAAUAAUACUUUAUUUGCAUUUUCCAGAAUCCAAAAUAUUUGCCAUUGAAUAGUGCCUUACUAUUUUUGAAUAGUAUUUACUAUUUUUUGAAUAGUACUUCACUAUUUAUGAAUAGUACUUUACUAUUGUGAAUAAUGACCAAUAGUAUUACACUAUUCUUGUGAAUAGUAAAUUGCACCAAUACUAUAUUUUUUCUACCAAAAUUAUAUUGUCUAUGCUCUGAUACCAGUUGUUAGAAAGCGUGUCAGACUAAUAGAAGGGAAAAAUAUUUAAAAGACAAGACAAGACAAGAUUUACAUGGUUUGAUUUGUCUACUGCACGACCACACAAAGAAUAUCUCUUUAUUAAUUGAAGAGAAAGAAGAGGUUGAGGGAUGAUCUGUAAAUGAAAAGCCAAACCCCUUUUAUAGGCAUUUGAAUGCCAGUGGCGGAUCCAGAAUUUUAAGAUCGUGGGUGCUCACUUUCUUUUAAUAUAAAGGUGCUAUCAAUCACAUAAUAUAAGCGCAAAUUAUUCGAACGAGGCGAUAAAAAAUCUAAUGAGAAAAAUACUAUUACUAUUGUCAUUACCAAAAAUGACUUCUAGCCACGAGUUACGAUAAUAAUGUUAUCAUUACAAAAAAAGGACUUCUAGUCAUAUCUCAUAACUGUGCUCGACGACUUUUCAUAUGUUGAAAACGAUGAAUAAUAGCAUCAUUGCUGACACUUAAAAAUAUCUUACGCUCUACAUAGCAUACUAAAUAACUAUUUAAAAAAUCAUCACUGAUGUUGUUACGAAGUUCACUUUUGAUGUAGUUCAUGAAUGAGAAAGCUCGUUCCACUGAAGCUGUAGCAACAAGAAGAAUGAGAGUCAACUUGAUAAACAAAUAAACAAGUGGCCAAGUUUGAUGCAGUUCUGACUUAACCAACACUUUAGCAAGAUCACUAAUUUCCUUCGUGCCAAAGAACCUCUUGUCAACACCACAAGCAUAAACUAUAAAACUAUCAAGCUAACAACUGAGAUCUCGAAGCUCGAUGCUAUCAAACUCAUUCGAAUAAUAUUCAACCAAUCUCAUUAUCCUGUUCUUAUAAAAAUUACCAAAUAAAUUAACUGGAUUUAAGCUAGCCAUACCGAGGAGUAAGUCAGUACUCACAGCAUCAAAACGACGGUUAAGCUCUUGAAAAUGCAAAUCUAUAACAACAUAAAAAAUGUCGACAUGCAAAUGAUAAGAAUAUGUAACAUCAAUAGCUCUACGCUUCGACUUCCCAGGAAAGUAGCGAGCGUCCAUCUUUGGAAUUAUUAUAUCAUGUUUAUCACAGAAAGAAGAUACAUCUUCCAUUAAAGAUCCAAAUUCACUAUUCCUCAUCGUUUGUAAUCGUUGUUUUGAAAGAGCAAGGAGUCCCAUAACAUUGACAAUAUCUUGAUCCAUCCUUUGUAAUGCAUAGUUCAACUCAUUUGUCAUUGCUAAAACUUUUAACAUCAAGUGCAACAUAAAAGCAAAAUCAAAUCCCUUAAUCUUACCCAUAAGACUUUCAAUAACAAUUCUGUCGGCAUAGUUUGGACACUCACAUGCAGUAAAUUCAAGCACAUGAAUAAUCAAUGGAAAUAGGACAAUAAGGUUAUCCAACAUUUUAUAAUGAGAACCCCAACGAGUAUCAUCUGGUCGUUGAAGCCCACGUUCUUGAUUUAAUCCUCGUCCAGUAUGUACUUCACCUGAUUUGAGUAACUCAUCUAAUUUUUCAGCUUGAUGUUCUCGAAGCAAAUCCCUGCGCUUAAAAGAUACUACAACAAUAUUUAAGACAUUAGUAACUAUACAAAAAAGGUCAUCUACAUCUGAAUGCUUCUUUGCAAGAGCCACAAAUGUUAAUUGAAAUUGGUGAGCGAAACAGUGAAUGCAAUAUGCUGAUGGAGACUCAUUCAAAAUCAAAGUCUUAACACCAUUUAGCUCUCCUUGCAUGUUACUAGCCCCAUCAUAACCUUGUCCACGUAUUUGUGUUGGACUUGGUGAGUGAUUAGAAAGAAAAGAGCAGAUUGUCUUUUUCAAUGACAUAGCCGAUGUAUUACUAACAUGAACAAUACCAACAAAUCUCUCUAUGACUUCUCCUUCUUUGUUAACAUAUCUCAAAACAAUUGCCAUUUGCUCCUUGUGUGAUAUGUCUUUUGAUUCAUCAACUAGUGUCCCGAAAAAAUCCCCAUCCAGGUCUUCAAUGAUAGCUGUGAUUGUUUCUUUAACACAAGCAUCAACGAUAUCUUUUUGAAUACUUGGAGAACACAUCAUUUCAUUUCUUGGAGCAUUUUCUAAUAUAAUGCUUCCAAUAUCCCGAUCAAUAUCUCCAUACCAUUGCAAAAGCUUAAGAAAGAUACCUCUAUUUGUAGAAGAUUGACUCUCAUCAUGCCCACAAAAUGGAAAACCUAGUCUCAAAAUAAAUCUUGCCACAUCGAUUGAACCACUCAAGCAACGUCGAGACUCAUUUUUUUCUUUAUCAGAUUGUUUGUCAAAAGAAGUGUGAAUUGAUUGUGAUUGAUUCAUUAAAUCAAGCAUCCUGUUGAAACACCUGUUGUGGAUGCUAUUUACUUCUCCAACAUGAGCUUUAAAUCUUUCAAUAGCCUUGUUCCAAGCUUUAAAGCCAUUUUUUGUAAAAGCAUCUCCCGUAUUUCCAUGACUUUCAUGUUCAUUUUUGAAUAAAUAGCAACACAAACAAUAUGCAGCAUCGUUUGAUAUACUGUAUUUCAACCACUUAGAAUGUUGACCCUUAAACCAACCAGGACAAAAUUGACGCACAGUCUUCCCAAACUUAGUUUUAGGAAAAUCAUGAUUCACAGGCUGGCAAGGCUUUUUUUGAAUAUAAUGUCUUCUAACUUCAUCACGUAUAUUAGGACUGUAUUCUGUAAUAGGCUUUCUAUCUCCCGGAUCAACGUUGAGAGUUUCUAAAUCAAGAUCAGAAAGAAAUUUGUCCCUCUAAAUUUUCGGAGCUAUGGAUGAAGCAAUAGAUGGAUUAAUAGAACUAGAACUUGGUUUCCCAACAUUCGUUCUUGUGACAAACCUAUCCAUCUCGAUUCACAAAGAUUGAUGAAAUAUUCCUACAGAAUAAGAUUCAAUUUUAUUCAAUUUUACCUAAAAUUCAAUUCAAAUAAUUCAACUAAAUCCUAUUGGGGAACUCAUGCCCCUCUAUAACAAUACAAAUAAUAAAGCAAUAAUAACAUAUUUAACUAUAUUGCAGCGGAAAAUUGAUCACACUUCUUUAUAACUAAAAAUAUCAGAAAUAUUUAUUCUUACGGAAGAUAAGAUGAAAACUUACAAAUUUUCGAAGCAAUGAGCCAAUGAGGAUAAAUUCAUCAAUCACACAAACUGAUACUAAUAACCUACAUUUAUCCCAAAAAUAAAAAUCAGUUUUGAAAUUAAGUCAGAAAUAGAGAUAAAUUAAUUUUUCACUUUUUGACAAGUACGCAUAACUAUUGUUUAUUUGCCACAAAAUAAUUACAAAAAAAAAAUACUGAAUCUAUUUUACAAAGCAUAGGUAAUAAGAAUUGUAAUUUGUAAAACCCAAUAUCUUCGAUAAAAUAUUGUAAUUUAUACCCAAAAUCUCUAGCUAACUAGCUUAAAUCAAAAUACCAAAUCUUAUUACCUUGUUCCUUGUGUUUUAAUUUUGAGAUGGGGAGGUCAGGAAAACUUGUUAUUCAUAGUUUAGCCUACGAAACCUACAAGGAGAACCGGAGAAGUCGAGAAAGAUUCUGUUUUAGUAUUUUCGUUUGGUGUAUUUUGAAAGCCUACCAAUGUUUUAACUUUUAACUAGUGAAGGAUUCUUUUUCUCCCUUUCCUCUUCUGAUUAGUAAAUAAGAGGAAAUAGAAAAAAAGUGAAAAAAGUAAAAGAAGGUAAGUAAUAAAUAGGCAUGGAAAAGGAUUAGAAAACAAGAAAGUUAACGAUUUAUUAAAUAAGGAAAAGUGUUAUUUUUUUGCCGAAAACAAAAAACGUUGCCGAAAACAAAAAACGUUACCAGCAAGAUUCGAUCUUGCAACGCUACGUGUCCAAGCACCCAAACGUCAGCCUCCAAAUCAAAGCGCUCAUUGGACUUUUUGGUUAAUGGGUGCUUGCUAAUAUAAUAUAUCGGUUUUCAUAAAAUUUUUCUAUUAAUAUACCGAGUCCCCGUCGGAGUCAGUGGGUGCUGCAGCACCCAGAACCUUACACGUGGGUCUGCCCGUGGCCCUGCCGACGUAAUCACUUACGUCAUAAGAAAAGAAUUCAAAGAUGAAUUAUUUCAUUUAUUAUUCUGUUUCAUACUACUUUUUUUUCUCUCUUUGACUUUUCAUUCUUUUGUUUUGUUUACUUUUCUUUCUUUCACAUACAACAAGGUUUGAUCCCGUCAUAUAUAUAUAUGUAGAGAGAGAGAGUUCAAGACAAAUGCAGUGUUUGAUCGCAACUCUACACCUGGCCCGUUGAACAUCUUCAGUGAAUUGCAAGGUGUCUAUGAUAGAAGUUGGGUUGUCCAAAUCUGGCAAAUAGUGAAGGGACCAAGGAGUGUAAAAUCAUUCAAUCACCAGUUUCUAAUUCAUUAAAUACUCUUUUUUGGGCAUGGAGACGGCAAUAUUGACUGAGGAGAAUUCUGCUUUCUUAUUGACUAAUUUUCAGUGCUGAGUAACAGGUCCAUUUCCUUGAAAAACUAGUAUUUGGAACGGGGACUGUGAAAACAAGUUUCAUAUUUUGCAAGAUUGGUUUAAAAUCUAAAUGUAGCUUUAACAGGUGGGCUAGUUUUAUUUACAAGGACAAACUUUGCCUUUGUUUUUAACAUAAAAAAGACUUUGGAAAAGACUAAGGGUUAAGAGGCUAAAAGUAACACUAAUAAACUAUGCAAGAGUAUCGUGUCUCAUGUGUAACAAUGCAUAUAUUAUAUGCAAAGGCGGAUCCUAGAUUUAUAGGUUGCAGGUGUCACCAUUUUAUGCAUACAGUAUAUCUGCUACUAGUUACAAAGACAUAAUAGGAAGAAUGGGUUUGUUCGGUUAAUUUUUGGUUAAUUUGAUUAAGUCUCUUAUUCACAAAGCAAAUAAGUUCGAUUUUAGUUCAAUUUUUUAAAACUUAAUUUAAAUAAAUUCUAAAAUAAAAAUUCCAAAAGAAGAAUAACAUUUCAUGAAAGAGCAUCUCUAAUAUAAAAAAUUACUCAAAUAGUAGGUUAAUUACUACAUAUUUUUUGUUUGAUUAGAUUAAUUUACUUGUAUUGUUCUUGGAUUCAUUUUUUCAUCUUAAUUAUUGAGUUAUAUGACAAUUAUUUCAAAGAAUAACACUCAAUAUUUAACCUAUGAUAAUCGACACAAAACAUCAAGCCUUUUGAUUUUCUUUUUCAAAACUCAAUAGAAGAUAUUGUUCAAAUUAUACUCUAAUAUAUAAAUUACUAUCGUUUCAUUAAUAAGAGAGAAAUUAUAUGCUAACUAAAAUCAAUUCAAAUUACCUAUAAAAAAUAAUUGCUCAUGCAGUAAGGUAUAAUGAUAGAAACAAAAUGAAGACUAGAAGUUAAGAAUUUUCUUUUUAACAUAAAUAGUUGUCCAUCUAACCGCUUAAACUUAAAAUAGAUGGAUGUAUAAUAUAUGAAUAAUCAAUGUAUAAUAUGUGUGUAACUGUAUUUAAUCAAUAUAUAAUUUAUGUACACCGAUCUUAAUAAGUAGAAAGGGAAAAACAAAGAAGAUGCUCCAACAUGGAAUCAAACUUGCAUUCAUGAAGCCAAUGAAAGCCAUAAAAGGGGAUACUAAACCAGUGACACCCGCGUCUAAUUCGUGAUUUCUGGGUGCCCCUAUAUCGAUAUAUAUGUGUGUUUUCACAUAUAUAUUAUAUACUACAUAAUAAAAAAUUUAGCGACACGAGCAGGUGACAUGACACCCUUACCUCAUAAGGUAGAUUCGCCUUGGUUGUAUGUACUAUCCAAAGGGAACUACAUCAUUGCAGAAAAAAAAAAAAAAUGGCACAACAUUUGAAGUAUCUUUUAAAUUAUUAAUAUCUCAUACCAGUUUUAUCAAUAAUCAUAAUUGGAGUAGUUUCUUAUAACGAAAAUUAAUUUUGGGACGAGCAAAACACUAAAUCCUUUUUUCAAAGGAAAAAAGGGAAAACAUAGGAGGAGAGGAAAAAUGUGGUCUUUACGCAAAUAGCCGUAUUGAUUCACUAUUUACUUUCUAAUCGAUAAACAUAAACUAUACACUAAUUACAUAUAAUUAUGCUAUUAUAAUAUUUAUAAUUAUAUAAAUAUUAUAUAUUUGUAGGCUAUUUUUAAUUCAAGCAGUAGUUGUUGUUCGGCUAUUUAGGUUCUUAAAAAAAUUAGAAUGGAUGAGAUUCCUAAGAAGGUAAUGGGCUUUCCAUAGAUAGUCUCCGGUCCAAUUUCAUAAGCCCCUUCAAUUCUAAUAAUUUGACUAUUUCAUCCACUAAUAGGAGAAUUUUCUACCAUAUACUCCUAGGGGUGUUCGUCGGUCAGUACAAUACGGUAUUUAGACAUUUCGAUUCGUUAUUUUCGGUAUUCGAUUUCUUAAAAUGCUAUACCAAUACCAUACGAAAUUAAAUUAUGUAUGGUUCGGUUUUUCUCCUUUCGGUUUCGGUUUAUUUGGUUCAGUAACUACGAUUUAUUCGGUUUGAAUACUAACUAGUGUAUAGAGUCAUAGACUGUAAUAUUCUUAAUUAAAGUACUCAAAAGUACUAAACUAAAAAUAUUUGUUGACAAAAGUUUUGUCCAAAACCAGCAAAUAUCAACCCAGAGAGAGAAAACCAUACAUAAAGGAAUAAAUUUGAUCAUUAGAAAUAUCUUGUUACUUGUUUAGAGUUAAUUGAUGAACUUACGGAAUACAGGAAAGUAAAGUUUUAGAUUUUUUAUAUUUAUAUUAUAAUUAAUAAUAUGUGUAUUGUGUAAUAUAAUAUAUAUUUCGGUACGAUAUCGGUAUUUCAGUUUUUCAUUUUAAAAUACCAAAUACCAUACCUAAUACUAUUUUUUUUAAACUCAAACCAAAUACCACACUGAAUCCCAAAAAAUCGAAUACCAAAAUAAAGUACGAAAAAUGGCCAAAAAUGCCCCUGAACUAUCUAAAUAGCUCAAAAAUGCCCUCCAUUUAUUUUUGGUACCAAAAAUAUCCCUACCGUCUAUAUUUUGGACCACAAAUGUCCUUAAACCGUUAGUCUUGCCAUUGAAGGUGACAUGGCAGUCCAACUGAGUUAGAUUUGCUUACAUGGCCAUCCACCUAAACAAUCCAGCAUGGCAAAAUUAAUUUUUCGAAAAAAAUAUUUUUCCGAAAUUUUUUAUUAAAAUACAAAAUCAACACUUAUUCCGAAAAAAGUAAAAAAUUUCUGUAAAAAUUAUUUAUUUCCGAAAUUUUUAUUAAAAUAUAAAAUCAACACUUAUUCCGAAAAAAAUAAAAUAAAAAAUCGAAAAAAUUAUUUAUUUCGGAAAUUUUUAUUAAAACACAAAAUCAAUACUUAUUCCGAAAAAAGUAAAAAAAAUCCGGAAAAAUUAUUUAUUUCAGAUUUUUUUAUUAAAAUACAAAAUCAACACUUAUUCCGAAAAAAGUAAAAAAAAAAUCCGAAAACUCUGAAAAGCCCACAUACGGCAAAAUUUUUUUGUUGCCGUUGGAAAAAGAAUAAGUCCCGCUCCUAUUAAUAUAGGGACUGGAAGUGGAAUGAAAGGUAUGAUCCACGCAUAUUCAUAUGUCUGUUCCAUAAAAAAGUUUUGAAUUCUUAAUUAAUUGUGUUCCGAUUCACCGGAUCUUACCUCUUUUGAAAGGAGUCAAUAAAAAGUCAAAAUAUGGACUAACUUAAACUAAUUUAAAACUUAAAUCGAAUUUUCUUUUCUUACUUAUUCUGAGUCUUUGCUAAAUACUUCAACUAUUGAAAUCAAGAAGUUACAAUUGGUCAAAUGAUAUGAAAGGGAUUAAUUACUAGUCUCUUUUGAAAUAGGCCUAUUUUCCUCCAAGUUUGACCAGUGAAUCGAACGGGGAUUCAAGUUUUUCAUUUCAUGAAGUAAAAAUGCGGUUCUUAUCCUUAAACCUUUCGAGGUAUUUUAUUGCAUGUAAAUGAAAUGUGGAACCAUAAAUAGAAAUCGAGUAUUUUUUGGAUUCUUUAUUUUAUUUUUGAUUUUUAUUAAGUUCAACUAAUUUCCUUUCUACAUAACAGCCGAUUAGCAAAUCCUAUAGGUAUAGAUUUUAUGAAUCAAAAAUAAUGUGAAAUAAAGAUACCAGUCAAUAUAGAACUUUUUUUUUUUUACAAUUAUGAAUGUUUUAUGGAAUAGAAAAACAUGAAAAAACACAUAUUGACCUUCUUUUUUUAUUUCCAGUAUUAUUUAAUUUUCACACAUCUUUUGCCUAUCUCGACAAUGUUUUAUUUUAGGACGACACUAUUAGCUCGAAAAUAA
rnacentral:lncRNA from 1 species